rnacentral:rRNA from 1 species
AUUGAACGCUGGCGGCAUGCUUUACACAUGCAAGUCGAACGGCAGCACGAGGGCAACCCUGGUGGCGAGUGGCGAACGGGUGAGUAAUGCAUCGGAACGUGCCCUGUCGUGGGGGAUAACACAUCGAAAGAUGUGCUAAUACCGCAUACUACCUGAGGGUGAAAGCGGGGGACCGUAAGGCCUCGCGCGAGAGGCGCGGCCGACGUCUGAUUAGCUAGUUGGUGGGGGAAAGGCCUACCAAGGCGACGAUCAGUAGCUGGUCUGAGAGGACGACCAGCCACACUGGGACUGAGACACGGCCCAGACUCCUACGGGAGGCAGCAGUGGGGAAUUUUGGACAAUGGGGGCAACCCUGAUCCAGCCAUGCCGCGUGCGGGAAGAAGGCCUUCGGGUUGUAAACCGCUUUUGGCAGGAACGAAACGGUGCGGGCGAAUACCCUGUGCUAAUGACGGUACCUGCAGAAUAAGCACCGGCUAACUACGUGCCAGCAGCCGCAGUAACAC